GACGAACGCUGGCGGCGUGCUUAACACAUGCAAGUCGAGCGGUAAGGCCCUUUCGGGGGUACACGAGCGGCGAACGGGUGAGUAACACGUGGGUGACCUGCCCUCAGCUCUGGGAUAAGCCUGGGAAACUGGGUCUAAUACUGGAUAUGACUCCACGGUGCAUGUCGUGGGGUGGAAAGCCUUGUGCGGCUGAGGAUGGGCCCGCGGCCUAUCAGCUUGUUGGNGGGGUGAUGGCCUACCAAGGCGACGACGGGUAGCCGGCCUGAGAGGGCGACCGGCCACACUGGGACUGAGACACGGCCCAGACUCCUACGGGAGGCAGCAGUGGGGAAUCUUGCGCAAUGGGCGAAAGCCUGACGCAGCGACGCCGCGUGAGGAUGACGGCC
rnacentral:rRNA from 1 species